AUACGGAGGAUCCGAGCGUUAUCCGGAUUUAUUGGGUUUAAAGGGAGCGUAGGUGGACAGUUAAGUCAGUUGUGAAAGUUUGCGGCUCAACCGUAAAAUUGCAGUUGAUACUGGCUGUCUUGAGUACAGUAGAGGUGGGCGGAAUUCGUGGUGUAGCGGUGAAAUGCUUAGAUAUCACGAAGAACUCCGAUUGCGAAGGCAGCUCACUGGACUGCAACUGACACUGAUGCUCGAAAGUGUGGGUAUCAAACAGGAUUAGAUACCCUGGUAGUCCGCACAGUAAACGAUGAAUACGCGCUGUUUGCGAUACACUGUAAGCGGCCAAGCGAAAGCGUUAAGUAUUCCACCUGGGGAGUACGCCGGCAACGGUGAAGCUCAAAGGAAUUGGCGGGG
rnacentral:rRNA from 1 species